rnacentral:rRNA from 1 species
UACGGGGGGGGCAAGCGUUGUUCGGAAUUACUGGGCGUAAAGGGCUCGUAGGUGGCCAACUAAGUCAGACGUGAAAUCCCUCGGCUUAACCGGGGAACUGCGUCUGAUACUGGAUGGCUUGAGUAUGUAAGAGGGUCGCGGAAUUCCCGGUGUAGAGGUGAAAUUCGUAGAUAUCGGGAGGAACACCGGUGGCGAAGGCGGCGACCUGGGACAAUACUGACGCUGAGGUGCGAAAGCGUGGGGAGCAAACAGG